GACGAACGCUGGCGGCGUGCUUAACACAUGCAAGUCGAACGGUGAACCUCUUCGGAGGGGAUCAGUGGCGAACGGGGGAGUAAAACGUGGGCAACCUGCCCCCGGCUCUGGGAUAACUCCAAGAAAUUGGGGCGAAAACUGGACGUUCACCGCUUCCCGCAUGGGUGGUGGUGGAAAGGGUUUCCGGCUGGGGAUGGGCGCGCGGACGAUAAGCUUGUUGGUGGGGUAGUGGCCGACCAAGGCGACGACGGCUAGCCGGCCUGUGAGGGUGACCGGCCACACAGGCACGGAGGCAGGGCCCGUACUGCAUCGGGAGGCAGGAGUGGGUGCCAUAUCGCACUGUACGGAGUCCGGACGCAUCGACGCCGGGUGGGUGAGGACUGCCGUCGGGAUGGAAACCCAGUUCAGCAAUGACGAAGCGUAAUGGACGUUACCUGAAGAUGAGGCACCGGCAAACUAGGG
rnacentral:rRNA from 1 species